rnacentral:rRNA from 1 species
AUUGAACGCUGGCGGCAGGCCUACCACAUGCAAGUCGAGCGAGCGCCGGACGGGUGAGUAAUGUAUGGGGACUCCCCGAUAGAGCGGGAUAACUUCUGGAAACGGUGGCUAAUCCCGCAUACUAUCGGAUAACCCAUAUGGGAUUAGCUAGUAGGUGGGGUAAAGGCUCACCUAGGCGACGAUCUCUAGCUGGUCUGAGAGGAUGAUCAGCCACACUGGGACUGAGAUACGGCCCACAGUCCGACGGAGGCAGCAGUGGGGAAUAUUGCACGAAGGGCGCAAGCCGGAUGCAGCCAUGCCGCGUGUAUGAAGAAGGCCUUAGGGUUGUAAAGUACUUUCAGCGGGGAGGCGUUACCCACAGAAGAAGCACAGGCUAACUCCGAGCCAGCAGCCGCGGUAAUUC